UUCUGGUGCGAGCGUAUCACCCUUACCACUUUAAUACAGGUAGUGACUGUGCGCGUGGCUUCGCGGUGGAGAACACCCCAAUAUUACAAUUAUACUGUGGACUAAAUGGUACAUUGCCAUUCACGCUGAGAACGACGGUUUCUUACUACUUUGGUACCAAGUAACGAGCCCUCACAAACAAGGCUGACUGCAUCACUGAAGAGGAAUGCUUUUACAAAAAGUAAGAAGAUCCUGUCAUUUGAGUAACUCAGUUAUUUUCAAGAAGAUAUCCGAACCAGCAAUCAAGUGUCGUUCAUAUCACUUCAUGAUUAGAACAAUUUACCGCAAGUGAAUAUUGGAAAGAUGAAAACAAGACAUGAAACUGGUGUUAUAGGACACGAGUAAACAAAUGAUGUACUACAAAAUAAAAAAAAAAUCAAUAGAUAUCACACAACGCAUUAAAGAGGCAAAAUAACGAUAUAACCUUCGGAACCAAUUGUCUCCAUUUUUAGCGUUGUCAGUACUAAAAAGAAGUUUUUAUCAAUGUCAGGGUUCUUCGCUACGAAUGGAAAAGUGAGCUGUAGCAAUCAAAUACUGAAGAAACUUGAACAGAACUUUCCACCGAGACUUCAGAAGAAAAGUACGUAAAAUUUUCAGAUUUUACUGUGGACAAUAUAUAAGAGAAUAUACUUGCGUUAGCCAUCAAUGACGAAAACUUUAAUAUGCACCUUAAAACGGGGCUACUUCCAUGAAAACAUUGACAUAUUCCUUAAAAUGUGGUUAUUUCCACGAGGGUAAAAACAACUUUGAAAACAACGUGGAAACGCGUUUAUCACAAUUACAGUACCAUGUUCAUUCAUAUAUUAUAGAGCACACAGAAAAUUAAAAGUAGGCAAGUGGAGCUGCGAACGACCUUUAAACUCUCGAACCUCCGUGGCAAAUCAUGGAAAGCUGGUUGAUGAUAACGUUAAUCAUGAUCGUUACCAUCCUCAUUGCUGGGGGUCUUUUCCUCUGCUAUUUUUUCUCCAUCAGAGCCAUGUGGAGAGCAGCAGCGAGAGAACCCGCAGCUCACCCUGAAAUCACUUGACCAUCUGAAAAUGCCGAUGCUGUUAACGAAGGAAGUCCUAAGAUUUUGUUCUUUAGCAUUUUUGAAAAAUUGUGGUCGGCAAAAGCAAGGAACUUGAAGGUAAAAGUUGCUGCCACGACUCCAAACGACUUCGACUUCGGCGACUGAAGAACUAAGAUCUUCGAGGUCUUCGAGAAGUGGCGAAUAACUUGAAAUAGAAGUACUAAGUAAAAUAACUACGUGUGUUCAAGCUGCUUGAAAUGAUGCUUACGUAUUUCACAUAAGCAGUGUACGUUUGUCACAGACUGCUAUGGUUCCCCAUUAGAACAAUAUAUGAAAUGAAAAUAAAUUAUUUAAAGAAAAAUUAAUGUGACAUCGCACCAAAUCUUCCUGUUUUAUCUUUGUUCACAGCUGUUUAAAUGACUCUAAAAUGAACUACUUCAACUGAAAUCCACAGCAAAGUCGGGCAGAUUAAGUUACAACCUUGGAAAUCAUAAAGUAUGACUUUCCUUAAAGAACACUGUUCUUUUGAAAUUCCGAAAAUUUUACAUUUUAAACGAGCAAAACUGAAACAUUAAUUUUGUUUUAGGUUUACGCGGUCUGAAACGGACGGAAAAAGACGUAAUUCCGUCACGAAAAAUGCUGCGGCAUAUUUCAGAAAACUUGACUUCAAAUAAUUCUUUCUAAAAUUUCCUUGAUUAAAAAAUUCAGUUCCUUGAACAUUAAUUCUGAAAUAUGUAUCAUAUAAAUGUAAUAUGGUGAGUGAAAAAUGAUCAAAGCAAUGGAAGGGAAAAAAUCCAUAUAUAAUACCGGACCCAACACGUCCUAAAAAGCGAACAGCUUGGGUGACGAGCCUGGGAACAAUGAUGACGGCAGCCCCUUGGUGCAAUAUUGCUUUUACCCGAUUGCCUUUGUACUCGCAACCCGGGGAGUUUUCCUUGUCAGCUCCUAACCAAAAAGCGUCACCAAAGACGAAAUCGAGGGCAUUAGAAAAUACAGCUCCUUUUAUAUGAGAAACAUUCAUCUAGUUUUCAGUAUAACAGCGCUGCGGCAGUAUACUGCGAGUGAAAUUAUUAAUAUAUUCAAAUGAAAUAUAAAGUUGUUUUUAGUCUGUAGCGACAAAUAUAUAAAAGCAGACAAUUGUGAGAUUUCUUCCACGAAUUUUUCCAAGCGCAAAAGAGAAAGUUGAUUUUACGGCAUCACCGAAACGGACACAAAACUUUCUUCCAAGCAAAGGUUGUCAUUCCAAAUAGCGAGUGACGUGGACUUGUUCUUCAAGUGUCAGGGAAAACAGUUUUAUAACCUUGCGAGUUCAUGUACACAAAUACAGGCAGGAGAACCGACAGGAGAGAUAAACAAUUCAUUCCAAAAGACCUUUAUUAAGUUCACUUUAUGAAUUAUGGCCACUUUGCUCUUGGUUUUGCUCGUAAUUGUAGCAGUUCUCGUCAUUGGAGGUCUGUGCCUGUGUUACUUCUUCUCGAUCAGGGCCAUGUGGAGAGGAGGGGCCAGGCAACCUGUGGCACAUCCCGAAAUCACGUGAGAGCCGGUAACUUUUCUUCAAGUAAACAAGUGCCAAAUAUUUCUGCAUAAAAUGUUGUUCUUCUUCAAACAAUACAAAUAUUUAUGCAUAAAAUGUUGUUCUUCAUCAAACAAUAAUGUCAAAAAGGGUUGUGCUUAACAAAAGCAUUGAAUAACAAAAUAACGAAAAGGUCACAUGAAAUAUAUCUGAUACUAAACCAACACACGGCAAAAAGCAAAGAAGUAGAAAAGAACUGAAGUGGCAAGGAAAAUAUUAAUUCAAAACAGCGAAUUUCAGUAAAGAACUCAGGUGGCACAGAAAACAAUUUAAAUAUGCGCAAAGAAUGGACAAAAUAUCUUUAUUUUUAAACUUCAACGUGUAUAAGAACAUAACAUAAACCUUCACCUCAAGACAACUACAGCGAAGAAUGGAAGGUGAAAAUCAGAAAUUGUACAACUUGUACCAAAACUUGGAAGAAUGCCAGGAAAAAAAUUCAAAGCCAAGAGAAAAUGUUAAAAGUUUCAACUUCAGGUAGGAAGAGCCUCAGGGAAUGAGAAAAGAAGCUGAUUUAAACUGAAGAAGGCAGAGCGAGUACCACCUACUGGUUACCAGACCCUCAGUCCACCCUCAAGUCGGUGUCGCCUGGUGUGAAUAUCAUUUGAUAUCGUAUGGUGCGUGGAUAGCACGAAGCCCAUCAUAAGGUAUCCUUUCAAAACAUUGUAUAUCAAUGUUUAUUUCUCACAUCUGUAACAUACACAAUAUCAGGCAGAUAAUACGCAUUCGAAGAAGCAUAAUUUUAAUAAUUGUUUUCUACCGUCCCGUAAGGAUUAAUUUUGAAUUUACAAAAGGAAAUCAAAUUUCAUCCCCAAGAAAAUAAAGAUUCUCAUAGAGAGUACGUAUGUUCAAAUUAAACCAUGUACUCCAGAAUCCAAGGUAAAAAGGCUACAAACAAAAUUUCUAUUACACAUCCUGUUGCAAAUGCAUGAGAAAAAAAGUUUAUAUUGUAUUUCUAAUACUGGAUGCUAUUAUCCCAUUAAAUUACAAAUGCUAUUACUAUUCAAUAACAACCCCUUUUUCAGAAGUUCUAACUUCCAUGUCUAUAAAUGACUGAGACAAGACAAAAAGAGUUUUUUCUUAUAAUUAACAUUAAUUUCAAUAUAUAUAUACAUACAUAUAUAUAUGUAUGAUGUAUGUAUAUGUGCAUGUGUAUAUAAAUAUAUGUUCAAUGUUGUAUUAUAAAAAUAUUUUAUGCUUAAUUUGUAUUUGAGU